GACGAACGCUGGCGGCGUGCUUAACACAUGCAAGUCGAACGAUGAACCCGGAGCUUGCUCUGGGGGAUUAGUGGCGAACGGGUGAGUAACACGUGAGUAACCUGCCCUGGACUCUGGGAUAAGCGUUGGAAACGACGUCUAAUACCGGAUAGGACCUUGGAUCGCAUGAUCUGGGGUGGAAAGUUUUUUCGGUCUGGGAUGGACUCGCGGCCUAUCAGCUUGUUGGUGAGGUAAUGGCUCACCAAGGCGUCGACGGGUAGCCGGCCUGAGAGGGUGACCGGCCACACUGGGAAUGAGAAACGGCGCAGACUCCUACGGGAGGCAGCAGUGGGGAAUAUUGCACAAUGGGCGAAAGCCUGAUGCAGCAACGCCGCGUGCGGGAUGACGGCCUUCGGGUUGUAAACCGAUUAUAGUAGGGAAGAAGGGCUUCGGCUUGACGGUACCUGCAGAAAAAGGACCGGCUAACUACGUG
rnacentral:rRNA from 1 species